AAGGCUUUAGCUUAAUUAAAGUAUCUGUUUUGCAUACAGAAGAUGUGGGUUAAUGUCCUGCAAGUCUUA
rnacentral:tRNA from 1 species